rnacentral:rRNA from 1 species
UACGUAGGGGCGAGCGUUGUCCGGAAUGAUUGGGCGUAAAGGGCGCGCAGGCGGCCAUUCAAGUCAGUAGUAGGAAGUCCAUUUUUCAAGGGUGGAAGUGCUAUUGAAACUGUAUGGCUUGAGUGCGGGAGAGGUUAUCGGAAUUCCCGGUGUAGCGGUGAAAUGCGUAGAGAUCGGGAGGAACACCAGUGGCGAAGGCGGGUAACUGGACUGCAACUGACGCUGAGGCGCGAAAGUGUGGGGAGCAAACAGGAUUAGAUACUCCGGUAGU